rnacentral:rRNA from 1 species
UUGAUAGAACAAUGUAGAUAAGGGAAGUCGGCAAAUUAGAUCCGUAACUUCGGGAUAAGGAUUGGCUCUAAGGGUUAGGUAGGAAACGUACUAGAUGGAUGAAGGGUGCGUCUGGGGAAGGCUGGUUGGGCAACUGACUGGCUUUUCUUGGGCAAUCUCUUGUACCGUUUAGUGGCGGCCUACAAUUAAUAACCAACUUAGAACUGGUACGGACAAGGGGAAUCUUACUGUC